GCUGGCGGCAUGCCUAAUACAUGCAAAUCGAACGAAGCCUUUUAGGCUUAGUGGUGAACGGGUGAGUAACACGUAUCCAACCUACCCUUAAGUUGGGGAUAACUAGUCGAAAGAUUAGCUAAUACCGAAUAAUAACAUCAAUAUCGCAUGAGAAGAUGUAGAAAGUCGCGUUUGCGACGCUUUUGGAUGGGGGUGCGACGUAUCAGAUAGUUGGUGAGGUAAUGGCUCACCAAGUCAAUGACGCGUAGCUGUACUGAGAGGUAGAACAGCCACAAUGGGACUGAGACACGGCCCAUACUCCUACGGGAGGCAGCAGUAGGGAAUUUUUCACAAUGGGCGCAAGCCUUAUGAAGCAAUGCCGCGUGGACGAUGAAGGUCUUAUAGAUUGUAAAGUUCUUUUAUAUGGGAAGAAACGCUAAGAUAGGAAAUGAUUUUAGUUUGACUGUACCAUUUGAAUAAGUAUCGGCUAACUAUGUGCCAGCAGCCGCGGUAAUACAUAGGAUGCAAGCGUUAUCCGGAUUUACUGGGCGUAAAACGAGCGCAGGCGGGUUUGUAAGUUUGGUAUUAAAUCUAGAUGCUUAACGUCUAGCUGUAUCAAAAACUGUAAACCUAGAGUGUAGUAGGGAGUUGGGGAACUCCAUGUGGAGCGGUAAAAUGCGUAGAUAUAUGGAAGAACACCGGUGGCGAAGGCGCCAACUUGGACUAU
rnacentral:rRNA from 1 species